UACGGGAGGCAGCAGUGGGGAAUAUUGCACAAUGGGCGAAAGCCUGAUGCAGCUAUGCCGCGUGUAUGAAGAAGGCCUUAGGGUUGUAAAGUACUUUCAUCGGGGAGGAAAAAACAAAACUAAUAAUUUUAUUUCUUGACGUUACCCGAAAAAGAAGCACCGGCUAACUCCGUGCCAGCAGCCGCGGUAAUACGGAGGGUGCUAGCGUUAAUCAGAAUUACUGGGCGUAAAGAGCACGUAGGUGGUUUUUUUAAGUCAGAUGUGAAAUCCCUGGGCUUAACCUAGGAACUGCAUUUUGAAACUGAAAUACUAGAGUAUCGUAGAGGGAGGUAGAAUUCUAGGUGUAGCGGUGAAAUGCGUAGAUAUCUGGAGGAAUACCUGUGGCAAAAGCGGCCUCCUAAACGAAUACUGACACUGAGGUGCGAAAGCGUGGGGAGCAAACAGGGAUUAGAUACC
rnacentral:rRNA from 1 species